GCAAAGCGGGGGGUGCGAGGACUGGACUUGGAAACCACUGGGCUACAUCAAGUGUCAUUCACUGCAUGCGUGAACGUGCUGAUGACGUAUCCUGUCUGCGCGAACAGGGUGCUCAGAGCCAGCCGUCUUUAUUUCACCUGGCUGAGGGUCUCCUGUCUGCAGUGAACAGUGAGGUCUGUGUGGGGCCCCUGGGGAGAGAUGGGAAACGAGCAGGGGCCAUGAGAACUGCCCUCAGCAUGAAAGCAGGGGCACUGCCCCGUAACAAGGGCACAGGGUGGAGUAUGCAAUUAAAGGCGCUAAACACGUCCUCUGCCGCUCUUCUCUCUCUGAGGUCCACCGCUGUCCCCCAAGGGCAGGAGAGACCAACCGCCACUCUUCCACACAGAUGCCGCCAUCCCUCCCUACAACCAGACCAAUGAGGGACCCCAGCAUGGCCUGUGGGUCAGUAGGGGUCAACACGAGAGAUAUUCUCUCAAAGAAUGGCUCAAAUUAUGAAGGGAUGUCUUUCAUCCUCUGAUUUCUUUGCUUUUUCUUUUCAAUGGUCAUUCUAGAUGUUUAGUGCAUUGUGAUAUUAUAGUGGGACAGAUUGUGGGAGAAUGAACACAACAGAGACUAUUCAUGAGAUCCCAUGUGAAGCUAACUCAGGUCUGAUCAGAGCCGAAUGGGGAAACAUCAAGACUUUAUUCAGUCUGUCCCAGGACUUGCAUUAUAGUUUUAUUUUCAGUUUGUUCAGUUGGGGAUCUGAGAUCACUAGUAAAAAGGCUUCUGUUUUACAUUUAAAUCAUUUGAUACUUUUUUUUCAUUGCAAAUUGUAUUAUCAGCAUAAAUAAUUGAAUGAAAUGUACAACUGAAAAGUGAACAUGAAUUUCUGAAUGUCUCAUAAAGAUUUUCCCCUUUUGUUUUAAUGACAGCGACACUCAAGCUGCAUGAACUCCACAAAACCUUACAUGUAUGUUGACAGUUUGCACAGGUGUCUCAAACUGCCAUUCGAAAAAGCAGUAUUUAUGUUUUGCCAUUUGACUCUCAAAUACCCCUGACAAAACACACAACUUGAGGUACACUUGCCACUUUUUUGCCACAUCUCAUGUUUUUUUUCAACAGUUUUUAGUCCUAUGCAACCAUUCACAAGUUUGGAAUCUAUUUAUUGGAUUAAACUGAUCAAAAGUGACA